rnacentral:rRNA from 1 species
GCUUGAGCACGUAGGUGGGUUUGUAAGUCAGAUGUGAAAGCCUUCUGUUCAACGGAAGAAUUGCAUCUGAAACUGCGAGUCUUGAGUGUAGGAGGGGAGAAUGGAACUUCUGGUGGAGCGGUGAAAUGCGUAGAUAUCAGAAGGAACGCCGGCGGCGAAAACGAUUCUCUGGCCUAUUACUGACACUCAGUGUGCGAAAGCUAGGGGAGCAAACGGGAUUAGAUACCCCGGUAGUCCUAGCCGUAAACGAUGGGCACUAAGUAGAGGGAAUUACCGAUGUUCUCUCUGCCGUAGCUAACGCAUUAAGUGCCCCGCCUGGGGAGUACGGCCGCAAGGCUAAAACUCAAAAGAAUUGACGGGGGCUCGCACAAGCGGUGGAGCAUGUGGCUUAAUUCGAUGCAACGCGAAAAACCUUACCGGGGCUUGACAUGGUAGAAGUAGGAACCCGGAAGGGUAACGAACGGUAUCCAGUCCGUAGCUAUUACAGGUGUUGCAUGGCUGUCGUCAGCUCGUGUCGUGAGACGUUGGGUUAAGUCCCCUAACGAGCGAAACCCUUAUUUUUAGUUACCAGCGGGUUAUGCCGGGUACUCUAGAAAGACUGCCGUCGUCAAGACGGAGGAAGGUGGGGAUGACGUCAAGUCAUCAUGGCCCUUAUGCCCCGGGCUGCACACGUGCUACAAUGGUCGGUACAAACGGAUGCGAAGCCGAGAGGUGAAGCGAAUCCAAGC